ensembl:lncRNA
CUUGGCCCUGCCUUCUCUCCUUGGGUACUGCCUUAACUUUUCUUCAGCCCCUUUUCAUGGCCACACACAGUUCAAUUUCAUUGUUUUGGUAUCAGGAAAGAAGAAACAAGGAAACUGAACAAAUGUAUCACCCCAAUACACUGGUUUUUGUUAUUAUUGUUUAGUUGCUAAGUCAUGUCUGACUCUUUUGUGACCCCAUGGAUAGUAGCCCGCAAGGCUACCUCUGUUCAUGGGAUUUCCCAGGCAAGAAAACUGGAAAUACAUUGGAGGAGACUCUAGUUGAGCAAAAUUAAAACAAUUCCUCUGUAGGAAGCAAGAGCUUCCAGCACUGAAGCCAAGAACUGAGCUCUCCACCACAGGUGAAACAUGUGUAUAGUCUCAAAUUGCCUGUUAGAAGAGGAACCCCAGGCAGAGUCAUAUGUGAUCCAGCUGUAUCAGAACAGAAGAGUGAAAGUAUGUAAGACAGUCUUCCUGUAAAGGAGAGAAAAUCCCUAUUACUUAUAAGAGGCAGAAUGAGGGUUACGCAGAGACAAGACACUAGCUGGCUGCCUCUAGAACGUUAAUGGAGCACUGUAAGGUGUGAGCAGACAAAACCCUUGCCUCUUGUGAAGGCGCCGUGGCAAAAAGAGGAAAGGCUUCAGUACUGGGAUCUUGCAAUCCACAAGGUAUAUGGGAUCUUGGCUCCCUAACCAGGGAUCGAAUCCACACCCCUUGCAUUGGAAGAAAGGCUGGGCCACAGCAUCUCUUACCUAGACCUGCUACGGACUCAUGAUUGAAAAUUGCUGACUUCCACAGUGCAGCCAGCUGAUUCAUGCUGUAUUCUGAAGGUUAUGAGUCUCCAUGUGAUAUUAAGAACUGUACGUCUGAACCAUUAAAGAAGAAGUGUAUAAAAUGCAGUGUGGCUCAGUGGAACUAUAUGAGCCAGAAGUAUUUCAUUUUAUGCCCUGGCUCUAGCUAUAUUUGUAGCUUUUGAGCACUGGCAGUUCUUCUACUUUCACUUUUGGAGUUAUAGCUGUCUCCUCUGUUGAAAAACAGAGAGCAAGGUUAUUACCAGAUGAGUUCUUUAUAUUUAUUAUAUGUGUUUUCAGCUCAACUUACAAAUGCCCCUAUUUACUGAAUUGCUGCUAUAUGUAAAGUUUUGUACUAGAUGCUUGAGAGGACUACCAAGAUGAUUCAGAUAUAGAGCUGCGGAAUUUAUAAGUACACCAUAAUUGAACUGCACAGUAGAAUGUGUUGGAGAGUAUUAGAAAAGUACAAAGCAUUAGAGAUUCAAGAAAGGGAGAUGACAUAUUGUUUGUGAGAUCUGGAAAAGCUGCAUAAAAAUAUCUUCUGAGAUGUGCACUGAAGGGUGGGGAGGAAUUGAACAGAUGGAGCUUGUUUGGGUAAAGGAAAUCCGGGAAAAGGGAAAAUCACGAAUUUGCCCAUACAAUCCUGGGAAAAUAGGGAGCACCAUUAACACACAGUGGGUUGUCAUGGGGGCUGUACAGCAGUAAAGGGCACUGUGUCCACCUGUGGCUUCUGCCCUCUUCUCUGGUGUAUCGUUGCUAGAGUGUGACUACCCGACUGAAGGCUGCAUUUCCCAGGUUCUCUUGGAAUAGAGGUGGAAUGGAUGAGUUAUUUUCAGGCUUCACAUGCUAGGUAGAAGUCGAUUCUUGAGGUGACCUUGACAGCCUUGUACUGCAGUUGGUAUAGCCUCUGUCAGCUUGGAUUCUGAAUGACUGAGUGGAGCAGACCUUUCCUCACCUACUCCAAGAGGGAAGACUCAUAUAUACUUACAUGAGCAAGAAAAAACCCUCUUCAAUGUGUUUAGCCACUGAGAUAAUAGGUUUUCUUAAGGAAGCUGGAGUUUUCCUUAACUAAUGUGGUAGUUAAAAGGGAAAGGCAGUCCUGGCCACUGUUUGUGAGAGACAGCAUAAUAUACUGGAGGCAGCUCUAGGUUAGAAACAUGGAUUUCAUUAUUCACUUAAUUUUUCAUUCAUUUCAUAUUUAUAGAGACUUUCAUAGCCUGUCAUAUCUUGAGUUAAAUGCUAGGAAUGCUUUUGAUUAAUAAUGCAUAAUUCGUGGCCUUAUAGAGCUUCCAGUGGGGUGCAGGAGAAUUAAAAAAAAACACACCAAAACCAGGCUGUCCUGAUCCAUUGGCAUGCCUUAGACCAGCAGCACCAGCAUUGCUCUGGAGCUUAUUAGAAAUGCAGAAUUUCAGGCCCCACCCCUAAGUCAAUGGAGUCAUAAUCUGCAUGUACAUUAAAGCAUGAGAAACACUGGUAAAAUGAGUGCUUUGGAAGGGAUAGGCAAUGGGACAAUGGGAGCCCCAGAGAAGGACUAUUAGUCCAGUCUUGAUUGAGACUUUUCAGACUUUUGAGCAGUGUGGUUUAGUCAUAAUAAUUGUGUCACUUUGGGUAAACUACUUAUUUUCGACUUUGGUUUCCUUCUCUGCAAAAAUAUGUGCUACAAUAUGGGUAAUAUUUCAAGGUUGUUUUGAGUCUCAAGACUUCAAGGUUGUUUUGAGGUUCAAAUAAGUAAUAUGUAAAAGUGCUUUGAAUACUCUAAAGCUGUAUAUAAAUGGAAAAUUUUUAUUUUUUCAGCUGUAGUUGGAGUAAUGGAAAAAAUUGUGUUCUUUGGUAUAAUAAUACAUUUUAAACAAUGUUUAGUGAGAAAAAAAAUUACCCCAUGUGGAUUUAUUGUUUUGAUUAUAUGCAGAACUGAAACAUAAUUUUUUUCCUCCUACUUAUUGAAGAAGACUUUAAAAUCUGAAAAAUAGGUCUAGUAUGUUGGUCAAAUAGGGUGUCUCUUGGGGUUGAAAAGUAUAUUCCACUGGGGCUGUGGGCUCUGGACUUCAGCCAUUUGCUCCGUUGUACAGAGUUUAUCCAAAACAUGGAAUUAGUGCAGAGGAACUUUCUUUCAAACAUUAGCUCCUGGGCUCAAACAGAAAAACUGAGCUGACUGAGUUUAUUCAGAAUUAAUAGGACUUCAGAAGGUUAAUGGACAUAAACAAAGAGCAACAAUUAAUUCACGAUGGUAGCAGUCCAGUAGUAUAGCCUCCGCACAGAAUUCCCUCACUACCAGCAAGUACUUCUAGUGAUGUUAGGUUUCAGGCAAGGCUUCAGUUGUGUAUGUUACAGUCGCACAAAAUGACCUGUUCUUUUAUGCUUCCGUUCUUUGGCACAUUUUUUUCCCUUUACCCAGGGGUGUUCUUUCUUUUCUGGACCACUUGCGAUAUUUGGGCUACCUGAUGAUUUCCUUAAAGGUGUCUUCCAGAUGGCAUCUCCUAACAAUAAGAGAUUUUUAUUGAUCAGUGUGGGCUGGUUUAGACUCACCUUUCUCUACUUAUGUAUGAUUCACAUUGCUGUAUGGCAGAAAUAACACAACAUUAUAAAGCAAUUAUCCUCCAAUUAAGAGUUUAAAAGAAUAGAUUUACCUUUCUCUGUAGCUUCAUAGAGACAAAAAGAAUAUAUUGAAUCACACUGGGAACAUUACUCCAGGUGUCUUGCUUCCUAUCCCUAGCAUCUGGUAGUGUCCUGCAC